rnacentral:snoRNA from 1 species
CUGGCACUUUCAUAGGCCCUCCCUCAGGCUUCGGGGCCAGACUUUGGUAGCUGGUGCUGAGAGAAAACCUUUGAUUAUAUCCUUGCCCUGGGACUGUGCCAGGGGCAGCUGUCACUCAAUGGGAUAAUU